AGCUGGAAGACAAAAUGCUACUUUGAGUCCAAACUUUAUGCGACUGUUGUCAUUUUGACUCGUGUAGUUGGGAACUGAGCAGAACGAAGAGGAUGAGGAGCUAAAGACUGAGCUGGAAAGCAUGUGCCAGAGCAGAUUUCAUCUCUGUGAACUGACGGAGAGAGAGGCAGACCCAUAACGCAUCUUGUCACCUGACGCAGCUGAUUCCGGUCCCUAAAGAAGAGCUCCUAGAUGCUGUGAUAGGAAAGACCAUAUUUAAUACUGUGAUAUUAACUAAAAGGAACUCCAUGAAAUGCUGCUCCAGUUUUAUGAUCUUGCUAAACUCUGGAGACCACUGGAAGUGGGAAUUUCAGAAAAUAGGAAGUAUAUAUUUAAAAUACACGUCUGACUAGAAUGCGUGAUGGUGUUAUGUCUGCGCUCACUGCAACUCAGGGAAAAAAAAACCUUCAUAAAAAUACGUCCUUAAUAUCUGACCGACAUGUUUGUAUUGAAGAGCUGGAAGGUAUAGACCUGAAGAAGAAAGGCCAAAAAUCAGCAGCUUCUCCUCCCUCUCUCAAAAUUGAGCCCAAAAAGCAAUUAAUGAAAACAGGAAGACAAUAAUCUAUAGGCAACACUAAUACCGGCUUCUUAGGAAAGAGAAGAUGACGAGAACCAUAAAUGAUUUUUCCUUGAACUCUGGAAGUAUUAAGAGAUCCCCUCUCUGCGCUUUUGCAAAGGGCCAUUGGCCACAGGAAUGGGCCAGGUCGUCAGCCAGCGUAAAGAAGUACGAAUGCCAAUUUUGCCGAAAUGAAAAUGCAGCAUCCAAUGUGUGCACAGGCUACCUGGGGAAAGGGCAGGAACGUUUUCGUCAUCCACAUUGAGAACGAGCAGAAACAUUUUCUCAGGCUUCUCCAGGAAUACUUUAUAAUGGUGAAGUAUCAAUUUAUUCCUUUUGACAGAAGUUGCUCAACUGUUCCAAUGGUCAUUUAUAGGGAUAUAUUUUUUUUCAAUUACUUGUUGACUGAGAGCAUAGAAAUCCAGCAUUUUUCUCUUUGCAGUGCCAGGGCAGUUCCUGUUUAUUUCUGCUGAUAUUUUAUGUUCAAAAAACCUGCAAAUCUCUAAUUAAAAAAAAGUCAAAAUGCAUGAUUAAUUACAGAUCAAGAGUAUUUUGAAAGCAGGAAAGAAAAUAAACAACUCUGGUAAAGUGAACAGAUGGGAUUACAAACUAAAUUGCCAUCAUUAGCAUUAUGAGUCCUAUAAUUAGUUAUUAGAAUAACAAUACAUAUCUAAUAUUAAUAUGAGAUAGCACAACUGUUAUGAUAGAGACAGGAAAAGAAAACAAACUUGGAUAAGUUGUAGUCAGGGAUAAUAUCAAGUCUUGUUCCCUAUUAAUAUCCAGGUCUGACUUGCAUGACUCCUGCAGGGAUAAAUUCUGAUCUAUCCGAUGGGCCUAAGCAAGGGGUUAGGGUUGAAUUUGGGCUUUAAAAACUUCUCACUGCAUAUAUAGAGAAAAAGAUUAUCAGAACUACAGGUGUAUUGAAGACUGACAUUACUGCCUUUGAAUAAGACUGUUUGAGAGUUGAAUGUUCUUUUAUUAUUAAAAAAGGCAUUAAUUUCCUUAAUUCCCAGUAAAUGCAAUGCAGUUCAAAGUGUUCAAAUGAUAAAGUCAAAACUAUACAAAGUAAACCAGUGUUUUUCCACAGAUCUUCUAUUAGGUAACGGUUGAUAGAGGCAUAAGAGGCGGUGCCACUUGCUUAAAAGAGCAUGCUACGUAAUACUCAGCAAGCAACUGAGAGUCAAAUUAGGAAAUGAUAAGAACUGUCAUGUUGCACAGAGGAAGAACUAAGUCUAAACAAUAACCAUUUGUAUAAUUAACAGAAAAAUUAAGUCUGUAAUAAGAUGUGUUAUGCUUUUUUCUCUUCACUCUCAGCUGUUCUGCUUGAAUUAAGCUGUUAGAAAAUCUAAUUGAAACAAUGUUAUAUUUAAUUCCAUUUAUUGGCUGUUAUAAAGUCAAAUAUACAUUAAGAAGAAAAAUGUUAA